rnacentral:lncRNA from 1 species
AGAAAAUUGAGAUUCCACCAUGAAACCAAUUGGCAAUAUGAAGAGUAGUCCAACUACUUAUAAGCACAUGUAAGGUCAUUCUUCUCACCAAUGUGAAAUUCAUUCUUAACACUUUGUAGAAGUGUGUAGGAAUAGUUACAAAACAUGAACAACUAACUCUCGUAUGCUAUUCUUUUAUCUUUUCUUAUACUGUUGUCGGUUUGAACCAUAAACAGUUCCCAACUCGACUACGUGACUCCAAAGUUUUAUUAUAUGUGUAUUUUUUACGCGUUGAUUCGUCUCGUGUUGUUAACUUGU